CUGGGUCUUUCUAAACUACUGUUUCGGGCUCUUCGCAGUGGGGCUGUCAACGCUUUUAGAGCAGCUGCUCCAACCCUAUGACACCUCCCUCCAAACCCCUCUGUCAGCUCUCUCUUACUGCUGUUGUCUGUUCAUGUUGUUGAAAUGGUUGUCCACCCGCUGUUUUGGUCUUCUCAAGGUCAUUUCAUUAAUUUAAAUAAAUGUGACCAUUGUGUAAAUUAAAAUUAUUAUCAUUUUCCUUUUUCAGUUUAAGUUGUUCAAUCAAAUGCCCUUGGAGGAAAACAUCAAAUCACCUUCAAAAUCUCUGAGUGCUACGUAAUGUAAUGGAAGCCAAACGACUGUGAUUUCCUGAAAAGGGCAGCAACAUAACAAGCAACAUAGUUGAGGUCAGUGGAGGUUAUAUGAGUUUAAUCCAGUGAUUUGUAUGUGUUUUGUGUUUUCCCAAAAAAAUCAACACAGUGUCAAAUACCUUGUGUGGACGGCUGGAUGUCUGCAAGGCAUCCUCACCCGAGCAGAUCGAAAGCAGGCAUGUCUGAGCCUAAUCCCUGCGUUUCUUUAGAUAGGACAUACCUGAAUAAAAUCACUAGUAGUAAGCACAUUCUCAUUACUGUUGAGUCAGCUAACUAUGCAGGGGCUGAUGGAUGGAAGGAUGUUGCCACGUGCCUGCAGCAUGUUCUAUGGCGUGGGUAACAAGAGACGGGACAUUAACAUCACACCGCAUAUGAUCCUAUUUAGGGAAUGUUUGAAUGCUGUAUGCACUGUUGAAAUGAGAUUCUGUCCCUUGGUAAAUGAGCAUGGGUUAUGUAUGCAAUAUUCUGCUUAUUCUACGGCGGACGUUGAGUCAAGAAUAUUUUUCAGAUGACGGAAACUCUAGCGCUAACUCUGAUCUGUGACACUACCUGAGAACAAGUUGUGACACUGUAAAGUAUGAACUGAUGUAUGAAUUAACAGCCAAGAGGUACUAGAUUGGUAGAUGUUUUAAUUAUAGUGCAUAGUGUACACUCACAGUACAGGCACAUGUCCUUUUAAAUCAUCUAGGCUAUAUUGUCGAAGAUGCCAAACCUUGCUCACAAAGUCAGCAUCAUCAAGCUUUCUAACAGGCACAGAUUAGCACUCUCCUCUCCUCACCGUGGGUAAAACACGGAAGAUGAGGACAAAUCUUGAAUAAAUGGAAAGGGAUUAUCUGAAAUGUGAUGCACACUGGGCGAGCCUGCCAAGCUCAAUUCAAACUAACAAGAAAAUGCUUUUGUAGCUGCUAAUCCACUGGGAAAUAAAACCAAGUCUGGCGCUGUUCAGUUUAGUGUACACUACAUUAAAUGAUCAUAAUUUAUUGAUAUAAAUACAUAUAUUUGUUAUAUACACCACAUUAAAUGAUCAUUGUUGUUAUAACGUGAAUAACGGGGUUAAGCCUUUUGCGUUUGGCAAUUAGACUGAGGAACUAACAAUGAGCCAGCAGAUGCCGGUGAAGUCAUAUUGUUUUUGCAGUUUGAGCAACUACUGGCAGAAUGACAAGAUUCUCUGUUUUACCAAGUAUUUGUUGUUUCACCAGUAUCAUUUCAAUGAAUAUACUUAGGUGUCCAUUUGAAUGCCUGCUGGUAAGG
ensembl:lncRNA